GACGAACGCUGGCGGCGUGCUUAACACAUGCAAGUCGAACGAGGCCGGGCCCUUCGGGGCCCGAGUCGAGUGGCGGACGGGUGCGUAACACGUGAGUGACCUGACCCUGCGAGGGGGACAACCCGGGGAAACCCGGGCUAAUACCGCAUACGCGGUACGGCUACGGCCGUGUCGUGAAAGCCGGCCUAUCCAUGGAAGCCGGCGCGCAGGGAGGGGCUCGCGGCGUAUCAGCUUGUUGGUGAGGUAACGGCUCACCAAGGCGAUGACGCGUAGCGGGUCUGAGAGGACGACCCGCCACAUUGGAACUGAGACACGGUCCAGACUCCUACGGGAGGCAGCAGUGGGGAAUCUUGGGCAAUGGCCGAAAGGCUGACCCAGCGACGCCGCGUGCGGGAUGACGCUUUUCGGAGUGUAAACCGCUGUCAGGGGGGACGAAGCCUCGGGGUGCGAACAGUGCCUCGAGCUGACGGUACCUCCAGAGGAAGCGCCGGCUAACUCCGUGCCAGCAGCCGCGGUAAGAC
rnacentral:rRNA from 1 species